AGUGAACGCUGGCGGUAGGCCUAACACAUGCAAGUCGAACGGCAGCACAGUAAGAGCUUGCUCUUACGGGUGGCGAGUGGCGGACGGGUGAGGAAUACAUCGGAAUCUACUUUUUCGUGGGGGAUAACGUAGGGAAACUUACGCUAAUACCGCAUACGACCUACGGGUGAAAGCAGGGGAUCUUCGGACCUUGCGCGAUUGAAUGAGCCGAUGUCGGAUUAGCUAGUUGGCGGGGUAAAGGCCCACCAAGGCGACGAUCCGUAGCUGGUCUGAGAGGAUGAUCGGCCACACGGGAACUGGGACACGGUCCGGACACCGACGGGAGGCGGCGGUGGGAAUUAUUGGACAUGGGGCGAAGGCCUGAUCCAGCCAUACGGGGGGGGUGAAGAAGGCCUUCGGGUUGUAAAGCCCUUUUGUUGGGAAAGAAAAGCAGCAGGUUAAUACCCCGCUGUUCGAACGGUACCCAAAGAAUAAGCACCGGCUACUUCGUG
rnacentral:rRNA from 1 species